GGUUAAGUGACUAAGCGUACACGGUGGAUGCCUGGGCAGUCAGAGGCGAUGAAGGACGUACUAACUUGCGAUAAGCGCAGAUAAGGCAGUAAGAGCCGUUUGAGUCUGCGAUUUCCGAAUGGGGAAACCCAACUGCAUAAGCAGUUACUGUUAACUGAAUACAUAGGUUAACAGAGCAAACCGGGGGAACUGAAACAUCUAAGUACCCCGAGGAGAAGAAAUCAACCGAGAUUCCGGUAGUAGCGGCGAGCGAACCUGGAUUAGCCCUUAAGCACUCGGUGAAGUAGGUGAACAAGCUGGAAAGCUUGGCGAUACAGGGUGAUAGCCCCGUAACCGACGCUUCAUCGAGCGUGAAAUCGAGUAGGGCGGGACACGUGAUAUCCUGUCUGAAUAUGGGGGGACCAUCCUCCAAGGCUAAAUACUCCUGACUGACCGAUAGUGAACCAGUACCGUGAGGGAAAGGCGAAAAGAACCCCUGUGAGGGGAGUGAAAUAGAACCUGAAACCGUGUACGUACAAGCAGUAGGAGCACCUUCGUGGUGUGACUGCGUACCUUUUGUAUAAUGGGUCAGCGACUUAUAUUCAGUGGCAAGGUUAACCGUAUAGGGGAGCCGUAGCGAAAGCGAGUCUUAACUGGGCGCUCAGUCUCUGGAUAUAGACCCGAAACCGGGUGAUCUAGCCAUGGGCAGGUUGAAGGUUGAGUAACAUCAACUGGAGGACCGAACCGACUAAUGUUGAAAAAUUAGCGGAUGACUUGUGGCUAGGGGUGAAAGGCCAAUCAAACUCGGAGAUAGCUGGUUCUCCCCGAAAGCUAUUUAGGUAGCGCCUCGGACGAAUACUACUGGGGGUAGAGCACUGUUAAGGCUAGGGGGUCAUCCCGACUUACCAACCCUUUGCAAACUCCGAAUACCAGUAAGUACUAUCCGGGAGACACACGGCGGGUGCUAACGUCCGUCGUGGAGAGGGAAACAACCCAGACCGCCAGCUAAGGUCCCAAAGUAUUGCUAAGUGGGAAACGAUGUGGGAAGGCUCAGACAGCUAGGAUGUUGGCUUAGAAGCAGCCAUCAUUUAAAGAAAGCGUAAUAGCUCACUAGUCGAGUCGGCCUGCGCGGAAGAUGUAACGGGGCUAAGCAAUACACCGAAGCUGCGGCAAUGUCUUUUAGACAUUGGGUAGGGGAGCGUUCUGUAAGCCGUUGAAGGUGAAUCGUAAGGUUUGCUGGAGGUAUCAGAAGUGCGAAUGCUGACAUGAGUAACGACAAAGGGGGUGAAAAACCUCCUCGCCGGAAGACCAAGGGUUCCUGUCCAACGUUAAUCGGGGCAGGGUGAGUCGACCCCUAAGGUGAGGCCGAAAGGCGUAAUCGAUGGGAAACGGGUUAAUAUUCCCGUACUUCUGACUAUUGCGAUGGGGGGACGGAGAAGGCUAGGUGGGCCAGGCGACGGUUGUCCUGGUUCAAGUGCGUAGGCUUGAGAGUUAGGUAAAUCCGGCUCUCUCUAAGGCUGAGACACGACGUCGAGCUACUACGGUAGUGAAGUCAUUGAUGCCAUGCUUCCAGGAAAAGCCUCUAAGCUUCAGAUAGUCAGGAAUCGUACCCCAAACCGACACAGGUGGUCGGGUAGAGAAUACCAAGGCGCUUGAGAGAACUCGGGUGAAGGAACUAGGCAAAAUGGUACCGUAACUUCGGGAGAAGGUACGCUCUUGAUGGUGAAGUCCCUCGCGGAUGGAGCUGACGAGAGUCGCAGAUACCAGGUGGCUGCAACUGUUUAUUAAAAACACAGCACUGUGCAAAAUCGCAAGAUGACGUAUACGGUGUGACGCCUGCCCGGUGCCGGAAGGUUAAUUGAUGGGGUUAGCGCAAGCGAAGCUCUUGAUCGAAGCCCCGGUAAACGGCGGCCGUAACUAUAACGGUCCUAAGGUAGCGAAAUUCCUUGUCGGGUAAGUUCCGACCUGCACGAAUGGCGUAAUGAUGGCCACGCUGUCUCCACCCGAGACUCAGUGAAAUUGAAAUCGCUGUGAAGAUGCAGUGUACCCGCGGCUAGACGGAAAGACCCCGUGAACCUUUACUACAGCUUGGCACUGAACAUUGAACCUACAUGUGUAGGAUAGGUGGGAGGCUAUGAAGACGUGACGCCAGUUGCGUUGGAGCCGUCCUUGAAAUACCACCCUUGUAUGUUUGAUGUUCUAACUUAGACCCAUUAUCUGGGUUGAGGACAGUGCCUGGUGGGUAGUUUGACUGGGGCGGUCUCCUCCCAAAGAGUAACGGAGGAGCACGAAGGUGGGCUAAUCACGGUUGGACAUCGUGAGGUUAGUGCAAUGGCAUAAGCCCGCUUAACUGCGAGAAUGACGGUUCGAGCAGGUGCGAAAGCAGGUCAUAGUGAUCCGGUGGUUCUGUAUGGAAGGGCCAUCGCUCAACGGAUAAAAGGUACUCCGGGGAUAACAGGCUGAUACCGCCCAAGAGUUCAUAUCGACGGCGGUGUUUGGCACUCGAUGUCGGCUCAUCACAUCCUGGGGCUGAAGUCGGUCCCAAGGGUAUGGCUGUUCGCCAUUUAAAGUGGUACGCGAGCUGGGUUUAGAACGUCGUGAGACAGUUCGGUCCCUAUCUGCCGUGGGCGUUGGAAGAUUGAAGGGGGCUGCUCCUAGUACGAGAGGACCGGAGUGGACGAACCUCUGGUGUUCGGGUUGUGUCGCCAGACGCAUUGCCCGGUAGCUAAGUUCGGAAUUGAUAAGCGCUGAAAGCAUCUAAGCGCGAAGCGAGCCCUGAGAUGAGUCUUCCCUGACAGUUUAACUGUCCUAAAGGGUUGUUCGAGACUAGAACGUUGAUAGGCAGGGUGUGUAAGCGUUGUGAGGCGUUGAGCUAACCUGUACUAAUUGCCCGUGAGGCUUAACCAU
rnacentral:rRNA from 1 species